ensembl:lncRNA
UGCCUUCUCGCACUUCAAACUCUUUCCGCGGCCGAAAUAAAUAAAUAAAUAAUAUAUAAAUAAAAGGGGCGGGGGACGAGGAGAGGCCGCGCGGACGGGCUGGGCCCGCGGAGGGCCGCGCCGCCCGCCCAAGGUCACGGCGCGCGUUGCGCGGAGCUGGCUGCUCUCCGCCGGCCUCGGGCGGCCCUGGCGGGCACCUUCCCGCCCCCUCGGCGCCGCAUGGCCGCCCCACCCACCCCAUGGCCAUCGCCGAGGAAAUGGAGGUGGUGGGGCUGCUCCCGAGAGCCCCUCGAGCCGUGCAGCCUGAGGAGGAUGGAGGGCUCAUAGCCUUUCUCAUCUCCACCAGCACCCACCCUUCACAGUGUGUGGAGAAGCCUCUCCUGCUCCCUUUCAGCCAUUUUGCAAAUUAGCCGGCCCUCUCCAGGAAAUGGAAGCCACUGACCUCCCACAACUUGGUCUUCGUGCCGAGGUGCUGGGCAACCAGCUCCCGUUGCGAUGUGGUGUGACACCAGCGGUUGCCGUCAUUCUAGAACCUUCUGGGCCUGCUUCUCAGAGGCACUGUCCCAAUGCAGAGCCUCAGCAGAGAGGCUACAGAGCUCCACUGUGGCCCUUGGCAUCCUCCUGGCCCACAUGAGGCCUCCAUGAGCAAGCGGUCCUGCAUAGAGGUGGUCUGCAAUGGCUGCAGGAUGGGGGAAGACCAGAAACGCCCAGCCUCCCACCAGCAGCACAGCCGCUCCAGCUGUUACCCACCAUUGCCAUCCAGAGUCUCUUUCUACAGACUUUCCAAGUUAAGGAGGAAUUUCCUCACCAACUUGGCCAUAAAUUAGGACAAAUUCACUAGUCACAAGUAGAAGCUCUGCUUUCCACCAAACACAGUGGAGUCUUGCGGAGAUGGAAGCUGGUGUGCGGGAUGCCGUGGCUGCUGCAUUCCAUGAAGGAAAGGGAUCCAUUUCUGUGGAGGUUUUUCAAGAAGCUUCGUGGCUGUAUGCUGUGAAGGAGUUCUUCCUCCAGGAAUUCACCUGCCUCAAGUGUUGGAUUCAGAAUGAGAUUCUGCUGGGAGAACCUGACAGGACAUUCAGCGCUCUAAUAUCAUAUCCUAUAACUUCUCCACUGCUGCAUGCAUAUGCCCACAUUUUCAGAAGAUCAUGUGACACUUCAGACAAGCAAAGCACAAGAAAAAUCAUGGGAUCAGUCUGCCUCAAACCGCAUUGUCCUCACAUCCUCCAUUGAGCUUUGAGUGGAAGAUUUAUCACCUCUCAGAGUGAAUGUCUCCUACAGUAAUCAUAAAGCCUUGUCACUAUUUCAUGUGACACACAAGCAAUGCUUAGCAGCUGGGCUGGUGUAGCCCCAGACCUGAGUUUACAUCCGUCUGCCCAAGCACAAUGCCUGGAAGUGAAGGAGUCGGCUCUGGGCAAGGCCUGUCCUGUCAGGCCGCAAUGGUUGCCACUGGGCAACAAAGGCCGCUCAGUGGGGUGCUGGGUGCUGGCCUCCGCACGCACUCAGAGCAGGGCUGCUUUCUUUAAGUGAAGCCUGCUGGCUGCAUCUCUGGCGCUAACAAACUGUCCUGUUGCUUUUGAUGCUGGGAGGAGAGGGGUUUCUUACAGCUCUCAAGAGGCUGAAUGUGGCAGUGGGUAUUUUUAGUGCUCGAGGCCUCAGUCUGUGGCAUCGACCAAAAUGGCAGCUGUCACUGGGGAUUGCAGAUGGGGCUGUGUUCAAUACGCCGUGGAGCAGGAGGGCAGAAGCAAUCAGCAUUGGUGACCUGCCACGUAUAAUGUCAGAUAUAUGAGAAUAACAGUGACUGUGUCUGAAAUGAAUCAUCUGUGGGCUUGAAGGUUUGAUAUGCCAUAUUUGAAAAGUAUGAGCUAGAUGAAAAAUGUUUUCCUUGAAGACAUAAAUUAAGCUAUUUUGCUGUGGCUCCAUGUUGUCAUUUAAGUUUUUAACUUGAACAAGAGUCUGUUUAGGCUCAGAUUAUAAUUUGCAAAUAAGCUUCCAGUAUUCCUCCAGUGAAUGUAACAUAGCACAUAUACAUUCUUACUAUAAAGAAGACCAGCAUGUAACCCAGACCCUUGCACUUAGGCUUUACUUCUCAUUUUCAGAUAUUCAGUUUCCUAAACUGGAUUUUUAAAAAAGAAAUAACUUCAUAAUCUAACCCAAUAAUUCUGGCAAUAAAUAGAUCUAAAGAAAUUCA